UUAAAGGCUGUGAAGAGAAGAGUAGGUCGUUAGAUACAAUACAGAGAGUCUGUACGGGUGAGAGCAGGCAUGGAAGGAACGAUUGAAAAUGGUCUCGGAGCUGCGCACCGAAGCAUAGAUAUGCCAAGGCUGCGACGGGUGCACCCGUUAACGUGAUAGACUAUCGGCGAAUCAUUUCUCGCCCGUAGUUGAUAAGGCUCUGACCGUGAGAUCAGGGUGAAUUUAGGGUGGUAACACGAAGCGAUACAGCUCUCGUCCCUGAA
rnacentral:ncRNA from 1 species